UACGUAGGGUGCGAGCGUUAAUCGGAAUACUGGGCGUAAAGCGUGCGCAGGCGGUUUUGUAAGCCAGGUGUGAAAUCCCCGGGCUCAACCUGGGAAUGGCAUUUGGGACUGCAAGGCUGGAGUGCGGCAGAGGAGACUGGAAUUCCUGGUGUAGCAGUGAAAUGCGUAGAUAUCAGGAGGAACACCGAUGGCGAAGGCAGGUCUCUGGGCUGACACUGACGCUCAUGCACGAAAGCGUGGGAGCAAACAGG
rnacentral:rRNA from 1 species